rnacentral:lncRNA from 10 species
UGUGUAAAUUAUUUAAUACUUAAUACAUGGUUAAUAAAUGUGCAUUUCCUCUCCCUAUUCCUCAUUUAGUGAAAAAUCUCUGGGCACUCCAAGAGAUCCACUGACAGAUUCUGCAGCACAAAAAGAAGGUGCAAGUGGCUCCCAGGUUGGGCAUAUUUUGAUGGAGAGAGGACUGAGAUCCUGGCCCGCCCCUAGGAGACAGGGUCAGAGCAAGAAACUGAGGCACAGAGAGGAAAAAGGACUUGUCCAAAGCCACACAGCAACUGGUACAUUUCUGAGGAAGUCCUCUAAGCAUCCUGAACCUUCUUGCUGCCCCUGUGAAUGAGCAGCCCCUGCCCUGCCUGGUUUUCCACAUAGCAGCCACACACUGACCAGUGUCAUCCUGAAGGGCUGAGCUGCUGCAUGAGUUGUUCUGGAUAUGAACAAGAGUGUGAUCAUGGGUGCCAAUGUUUGGUCAUCUGGUCAACCCCAAGAGAGUCACUGGUUUUCCACUGAGCUGCAGCAGCCAAUUUGCUGAACCCUGAGUAGCUGAAACCAGGGCAAGGAGAGAGGACUCCCUCACAGUAGAGUAGGGGCUAAGGAAGGCAAGUCUACCAUAGGGUGCUACACCCUGGAGAAGGAAGGACAAAAAGCUAAGUCUGAACACAAAUAGUAAUAAUGUUGAUCACAAAAAGCUCCAUGGACUGAAAGCUGUUAUCACCAUCAGUGUUAUUACUAGUAGCAUGUCACCCUUAUGACAUUUCUAUGAAAUACACAUUAUUUACAUGAUUUUUACAGAUGAGGAAAUGGAAGCUCAGAAUAAUUAAUCACAGCCUGUAGUUCCCCAGUCACUGAUAGGACCAGAUUCAAACCCAACUCUGAUUCCAGCACUCAUCAUGUUUUCACCAUACCGGUAGUUCUCAAUUCUAGUUGCAUGUUAGAAAUCCCCAGUGAACAUUUAAAACAUACCAAGACCUAGGCCUUACCACAGAUCAAUUACAUCAGUAUCUCUCAAGGCAUGGUCCUGGAAUCAGUAUUUUUAAGUGAGUCUAAUGUAUGGCCAUGACCGAGGCCAACAUGCAUCACAACAUCCAUGCUGGUGCGAGCCCCCAACAGUGUGAUAUCUGAAGGGUGACCCACUCCCACCACCACCUCCCCACUACAGCUAAAAGCAUCUCAGAUGGCCAUGGCAGGCUGAUGCUUGGUGGCCAGGGCUGUGCGGCACUCUAAUGACCUCUGUUGAUCCCAGUUCUCCCUGUGACUCUCUUGGUUGCUCUGCUGACAUCACCUUCCUGCCUUUAGUCUCAGUUCCUACCACUGUCCCUAGAGAUCAUCACCCGGGUAUACCAACUCUGACCAGUCCACUAAUCUUAGCAGCCCUUAGCAGCAGACUGACAUCCUCAUAGGUUGAGUCUGGGCUGGAGAUUAGCAUGCAAACAGUUGAUUAGAUCCUGGUGUGGAGAUCAGCACCUGUGAGAGGAAAAAAGAGGCAUUAGGAUUAAGUCUCUCUGUGUUGAAGGGGUAUCUGAGUGAUGUACCACAGCAUCUGCAUCAGCCCUUAGCAGAGGGCCGAAUUUGUGUGGGAUCCCAGGAAAGACCCUCAUUUCCAGAGAGUUGGAGAGACUCUACUGGAGCACAGCAUGGAGCCGCCAUGGGCAGGACUGUCAACUACCUCACUCUACGAUGGCAUUGCAACCCUCCUGCCCACCCAGAGCUUCACUCAAGUUCCCUUAGGGGCUCAGCUAAAAACGGUUUGAGGAACUUGGCAGACCAGCACUCCCAGUCAGCCUUUAUAAAAGUCUUUGCAUCACCUGGCAUGCCCUACUCUAUCUUUCCCAGGGUGGAGCUGUGGGGACGGGGGUUGCUACAGGAGCAGUCUUCUCUGCUUUAUUCUGCCAGCAUCUGGGAGCCAGUCACCAUUCAGCUCAUUUCAUCCUCAGGAGCCAAGAUAGAAGUUUCCUGCCCUUGAGAAGUUCACAGGGAAAUGGGGGAGAUAAAAACAGAACUUGCAAUGAAAUUGCAGUAUUGCCAUUAAAAUGGCAUGCCUACAGAAGCAGCUGCUCAGGAAGCGAGUGAUUUUCUCCAUCUGGAGGCAGGUCAGGGAAGAGGCUGUCAUGUAAGAAAGGCUUAAGAAAGAUGUUGAAGUGCUAGAACAGGAUUUUGAAGAAUGAAUAGAAGUUUGCCCAGCAGAUACAGUUGGGAAAAACAUUCCAAGUCGAGGUCUGUCCAAAGGCUGGCGCCCCCAAACUUUCAGGCUGUUAGGAAGCAACGUGUGCUUGGUUAGUGUUGGUUAGGUGACAGGGAGGUAGGAGUCAGGGACCCAGGAGAGGAGACUGGGAAGGUAGGCAAGGGCAGAAAAUGGAGAGCUCUAUGACCGUGCAAAGGAACCUGGACCUUGCACUGAAGGCAAUGGCUUUCCACUGAAGAACAGCAUGGGCUGUCACAUUUUUUAAAUGCAUGACAUAACAAAGAGGAUUCUCUGUCCUGUUCUUCCCUGAUCCAUUUUCUACUUCCUGGCCCUACCAUAAACUGAAAAACAAACCUCACUUUUGCCUUCCGCUGCUCUGAUUUCUCUUUGUCUACCCCAAACUGGGUAUAAAGUAAAAAAUAAGUCAAUGCAACUUGCUGCACCCAUUCUACCCAACUCCUUACCGCAAUGGUUGUUGGGACUUCUUCACUGAAAAACCAGAUUCACAGCCACAAAGACUGUCACGCUGGAAGGUUCUUGGAAGCCAUCUACUAGCCCCCUUUCCCGGGGCCCACUUUAAGGAGGAAAGCUCUGACGCUUACAGAGGAGAACUGACUUCCCCAAGUGCACACAGAUCAUCAAGGAUAUGGAUGGGACUUGCCCAGUUUUUCUUUCCCAUAUUUCAGAUCAGCUCAUUACAUCCCUGUUUUGGGAAGAAAUAUUAGUCCUGAACAAAACUGUGCAGCUGGAAAUUUUGUCUUCCAAUCCCUUCCCCUAAGGCCUCUCCUGACUGUGCCCCCUCCUCCCUGCUGUGGUCCUUUCUCUUGCUCCCCAGCUCCCCAGCUCACAGAACCUUCCUGGUGACAAAGACCUAUUCUAUUCUAGGACCCCACCCUGCUCUCUCUGAGAAAGGCUCCUGCUUCUCCUCAUGACCUUUUUUGUUCUACCAAAACUACACUGCUCCAUGUUCCAUUCCCUCCAUUACAUGAGUGCUUUCCAAGGAAAAGUAGAAACUUCACUAAACCAAGAACUAGAAGAUAAUGUUCCAACUCUACCACUUCCUCAGACGUUGUGCAAACACAUUAAUUUCUUCAUGUGUAGCUAAGGUUUAUGUUAAACUCUCUUUAAUGCCACUUUUAUUUCCAAGACUCUGGGAUUCUAAUUCAUCCUGUGGCAUGGCAGGCUGGAGUGAGCUCUUUUGGGCUUAAAGGAACCCUUAUGCACAUCCCGUCCCAACUCCCAUUCUGUGUUGGUAGCUUGAAGUCAGCCAUGGGAGCAAUAUUUACCCCUUGGAAAUAGGCAAAUGCUACAAAUUCAAACUAUUUUGGAGGGGGGUGGACUGGCUUACUAGCACCCUCCCUGAAUCUAUUCUCUUAUAUCUCAAUCAAAAGCAGAUAUCUGUAUUCUCACAAAGACUCCUGAAAGCAAACAACACCUUAACCCAAAAGAAAGUGGUAUUUCUGGUAGUACCAUAAGUAGAUGAGAAGGUACACUUAAGGUGACACCACAUGGCUUUUCAUUUACCACUCCAUACCUUUAGUUCAUGUUUUUCUCUCCAACUGGAAUUCUGUGCCCCGUUCAUCCAUUUGUGAGGCUUAAAAUUCCACUACCAAAAUUUUACAAGCCAUCUUCAUAAAAUCUUCAUCAGUUCCCUAAUCAAGAUUCCAUUUUCCCUGCUCAGACUUGUAGAAUAACUGCAUGCACACAUUUCUUUCUCCAUCUGGACAGUACAUUUCCUGAAAGCAUGAACCAUAGCUUUCCCACUUCCUCCCCAAAGUGGGCUAACAGAAUAUCCUGCAAACAAUGGGUGUUCAAUAAAUAUCUGGGGCAAUGAGAAGCUCAGCAGCUAGCAGACGUGCAGAAGGCAUAUGCUUUCUUUUUAUUAUGAACUACUUUUGUUGGAAAUAUAGCGCAGCUUAUGAUAAUGCAUUUACAUAAUGAAACGGCAUAUGAAAAAAAGAAAGCCUCCUCUCUCCCCAUUCCUUAUUCCCUCAUCACCACUCCCAACUUAAGGUAAACAGUAUUACCA